CGCCACAUCGGACCCGCUCAGUGAGCUCUCUUGUUGCAAGGGACACCAAUGCCCAAGGAGCGCAGAGGGGUCUGUGACACACAGCGAUGGGAGGCAGGUUAACGUGUGACACACAGCGACGGGAGGCGGGUUAACGUCAGACGCCUCCGUGAGAGGCUGGUGGUCAGCCCUGGGAUCCGUCACCACCGGAAGUCUCGGCUCCUGGAAGGCUGCCUGGAUGUGGUUUAGUGAAGGUUCCAGAAGUGAAGUGGCCGCCAAUAGGAGGGGCUCCAGCAGCAGCAGCAGCAGCAGCAGCAAACCUCAGCACAGCUCACUGGCCAGUGCUCCCGGAUGACUGGACACUGACAUCAGCUGGGUUUUCAGUGGCAGCAAGGGCACGAGCUGCCGGCAGAAGCUUCUCCCACGUUCUCUUCAGAUUUGUGAUGUAGACGCCGUCACUGUUCUUGUGUAGAUGUAAUGUUCCAUUGGAAGUCAAGGGGAAAGAAACCGUUCCCAAAAGCCAUCUAGAAGAGGUUCCUUCUUGUCACAUUCAGAACUGGGUCCUGUGUCUCAAUGAGGAGAACCGAGUCCAUGCUCACCCCUGAGGAGUGGACAAUGGCUCAGUGGAGUCCUCUGGAGGCUGUGUGGCAUGGGAUGGCCAUGGAUUAAAUGGACAUGCAGAUGAGAUUCUCUCUUCUCUCAAGCCAGACAUUAGAGACAUUUGCAAUA